rnacentral:lncRNA from 1 species
AUACACGUGGCCUGCCUGAGUCAUUAGCAAAGUGUCCAACAACUCUGAGAUAAAUCGUCAUUUUAUGGAAUGCCACAGGAAGAAGUUUUCUUUACAAGUUCUGAAGACUUGUGAUGAAUGAGUCCAUAGUUUCACCUUUGAAAAUGUCCCUGGGAGUGUCAACCCCAUCACUUUUACUUAUAUUACACUCAUAAUCAGUUCAUCUCGCCAAGAAAAAUAAUAUUAUCCUCAUGCCCAAACUUGUGACUUGAUUUGAAAACCAG